AAGAUGGAAAGACGGUUUACGCUGUCACUUAUAGAUGGGCCCGCGGCGCAUUAGCUAGUUGGUGAGGUAAUGGCUCACCAAGGCGACGAUGCGUAGCCGACCUGAGAGGGUGAUCGGCCACACUGGGACUGAGACACGGCCCAGACUCCUACGGGAGGCAGCAGUAGGGAAUCUUCCGCAAUGGACGAAAGUCUGACGGAGCAACGCCGCGUGAACGAAGAAGGCCUUCGGGUCGUAAAGUUCUGUUGUUAGGGAAGAACAAGUACCAGAGUAACUGCUGGUACCUUGACGGUACCUAACCAGAAAGCCACGGCUAACUACGUGCCAGCAGCCGCGGUAAUACGUAGGUGGCAAGCGUUGUCCGGAAUUAUUGGGCGUAAAGCGCGCGCAGGUGGUUCCU
rnacentral:rRNA from 1 species